GGGGUGUAUGUGUUUUAUAAUUUUUAUUUGAUUAUCUAUAACUUUUAACUUUUCUCUGUGCUUUUGUAAUAAGGAAAAAAAUGAAGUGAAAGAUUUAAAAAAAAUACUUAUAAUGACCAGGAGAGAUGGGAAGAUCAUGAUGCUAACCAACAGGUAGAUUUAUGGUCAUCAAAAAUAUGCUAUGCUGACUUCAUUGGAUACAAAACUGAAUUAACCACACACUGCACCUUAAGGGAGUACCCAGUCUAGUUUGAGGACAACAAAUAGCAGUACUGUAAUGCAGUGAUCUCCGAAGUGAGGUACAAACCCUCCAGGAAAUGUGCAAGAUGAUCUGUUGGGAUACAGAGGAAAACAACAGAUUUUCUAAUUAUG
rnacentral:lncRNA from 1 species